UACGGAGGAUGCGAGCGUUAUCCGGAUUUAUUGGGUUUAAAGGGUGCGUAGGCGGUCCGUUAAGUCAGCGGUAAAAUUGCGGGGCUCAACCCCGUCGAGCCGUUGAAGCUGGCAGACUUGAGUUGGCGAGAAGUACGCGGAAUGCGCGGUGUAGCGGUGAAAUGCAUAGAUAUCGCGCAGAACUCCGAUUGCGAAGGCAGCGUACCGGCGCCAGACUGACGCUGAGGCACGAAAGCGUGGGGAUCGAACAGG
rnacentral:rRNA from 1 species